rnacentral:rRNA from 1 species
GAUGAACGCUGGCGGCGUGCCUAAUACAUGCCAGUCGAGCGAACAGACGAGGAGCUUGCUCCUCUGACGUUAGCGGCGGACGGGUGAGUAACACGUGGAUAACCUACCUAUAAGACUGGGAUAACUUCGGGAAACCGGAGCUAAUACCGGAUAAUAUAUUGAACCGCAUGGUUCAAUAGUGAAAGACGGUUUUGCUGUCACUUAUAGAUGGAUCCGCGCCGCAUUAGCUAGUUGGUAAGGUAACGGCUUACCAAGGCAACGAUGCGUAGCCGACCUGAGAGGGGGAUCGGCCACACUGGAACUGAGACACGGUCCAGACUCCUACGGGAGGCAGCAGUAGGGAAUCUUCCGCAAUGGGCGAAAGCCUGACGGAGCAACGCCGCGUGAGUGAUGAAGGUCUUCGGAUCGUAAAACUCUGUUAUUAGGGAAGAACAAAUGUGUAAGUAACUAUGCACGUCUUGACGGUACCUAAGCAGAAAGCCACGGCUAACUACGG